UCAAAAGCGCUGAAUCACAUUGAACUUUCGACGAGCUCUUGACCUCCCAGGUCGGUCUGGGCAAAAACACAUGUGGAUCCAUGGCCCGGACGACAGACAACCAAGGUCUGAUUCUUGCAGCAUGUGGCCUGCUUUACGGGGCAUAGGGGAUACAAAUUUUUUGGCUACUGCCGAAUUUCUGGCUGAAUGGCUUUGCAGGGAACUAAAGGACUGCGUGUGGCAUUCGUGGAAUUGGAGAGAGUGAGGUGGCGGAACGGAUGUCCUGCCAUAACGCAAAGCAAACCGGAAGCGCCAGCAGACGCUGCUGUUUGUCGUUGAAAGGAGCUCGGCUAAAAGGAUUCCGCCGCAAUUUGUUUGAUGUUUGCUACGUGUUUUCAAAUAUGUUCCGCAGCUUCAGCUACCCUCCCGUCCUCGUUGGUUGGCGACAUUCGGUGCCGGCCAAUUGCAGCAGCAACGAAUGCUGGAAAAUAUUUCAUAGAAAAUUCCUCAAAUUUUCCCAGGCAGACUUCUUUUUAUGCGACUGUGGAGGAUGCUAUAAGAAAUGAGCAUCCCAUGGCGUCUG
ensembl:ncRNA lncRNA:CR44399 long non-coding RNA:CR44399